GUAAAGCUUCCGCAGAGGUCGCCUGCUUUCCUAGCAGUUCCCACGAGCCAGACCCGGGCUGCCACGCAGGGGCAGGGGUCAGGCGUGGAGGCAGACUGUCCCGGUGCCCCCAGCCAGGCCGCUGGCGAGUCUGGCGCCGCCGCCGGGGAGCAGGGGCCCUGAGCUCUCUCCUCAGCGUCUGGACAGGCCGAGGAGGCAGACGAGGCACAAGUGACAGCUGGGAAGGUUUAAUUGCUCCUCAGUGGCUUGGGAGCACCUCCCUCCUUUGCCAGCGAUCUGCAUUUCAAUGUAGGAAGAGUGGAAAGUAAAGUAGGAUUGCCGCUCAAAGGGGUUACAAUGAUUAAUCAUUUAAAAAGCAAGAUCUUAAUUACAGGCCGCAAUUUUUGCUAUUUAAGGAGUCCAUUAGUUGCCAGAAAGAAGAAGAAAAAAAUUAUCACAGUAGGCUGAUGUCCUGAUCCUCGGUCGACUAAAGCGUCGAAGAUCCCGGUUCCUCAAGCUCUCCACACCCUUCACAGUGAGCACACCUCUGUCGUUGGCACCAGCCCAGGAGGUCCAGCCCUGCACUCCACGUUGAUGGACGGCACCUUUAUCCCAGAAGCCCCGGCAGGCAACAAAGGGGCCACCUAGUGUAGAAGUUGAUCUGGGGGUGUCAGAUCCCACCCCAGCCCUGAACUGCAACUUUCGGAGGACACUACCAGUGCAACCGUUAACCUCAAUGAAUGUAAAGUGUAAGCUGCACCCGGG
rnacentral:lncRNA from 1 species